GACGAACGCUGGCGGCGUGCCUAAUACAUGCAAGUAGAACGCUGAAGAGAGGAGCUUGCUCUUCUUGGAUGAGUUGCGAACGGGUGAGUAACGCGUAGGUAACCUGCCUUGUAGCGGGGGAUAACUAUUGGAAACGAUAGCUAAUACCGCAUAACAAUGGAUGACACAUGUCAUUUAUUUGAAAGGGGCAAUUGUUCCACUACAAGAUGGACCUGCGUUGUAUUAGCUAGUAGGUGAGGUAAUGGCUCACCGAGGCGACGAUACAUAGCCGACCUGAGAGGGUGAUCGGCCACCCUGGGACUGAGACACGGCCCAGACUCCUACGGGAGGCAGCAGUAGGGAAUCUUCGGCAAUGGGGACAACCCUGACCGAGCAACGCCGCGUGAGUGAAGAAGGUUUUCGGAUCGUAAAGCUCUGUUGUAAGUCAAGAACGGGUGUGAGAGUGGAAAGUUCACACUGUGACGGUAGCUUACCAGAAAGGGACGGCUAACUACGUG
rnacentral:rRNA from 1 species